CUGCUCGUUGAGGAGAGAACGACUAACACCCAGUCCUGUGGGUGGAGACUGCUCGUUGAGGAGAGAACGACUAACACCCAGUCCUGUGGGUGGAGACUGCUCGUUGAGGAGAGAACGACUAACACCCAGUCCUGUGGGUGGAGACUGCUCAUUGAGGAGAGAACGACUAACACCCAGUCCUGUGGGUGGAGACUGCUCGUUGAGGACAAAGGUCCAAGGAGGCAGAGACAGAAUUUGGCGUUGGGGAGUCCAUUGCUCCGAUCCUGCCUGGUGUCACCGGUACAGGCUGAUGGCAGUGAUGUAAUGGUGUGGGGGAAUGUUUUAUACCCCGAAGAAGUCAGGCUGUUCUGGAGGCAAAGGCGGGUCCGACUUGGUACCAAAUGGGUGUACCUAAUUAACAGUCAGACUGUAGGUGUGUUUUAUAAGAGACAACAGUCAGACUGUAGGUGUGUUGUUGUGAUUUAUAAGAGACAACAGUCAGACUGUAGGUGUGUUGUUGUGGUUUAUAAGAGACAACAGUCAGACUGUAGGUGUGUUGUUGUGGUUUAUAAGAGACAACAGUCAGACUGUAGGUGUGUUGUUGUGGUUUAUAAGAGACAACAGUCAGACUGUAGGUGUGUUGUUGUGGUUUAUAAGAGACAACAGUCAGACUGUAGGUGUGUUGUGGUUUAUAAGAGACAACAGUCAGACUGUAGGUGUGUUUUAUAAGAGACAACAGUCAGACUGUAGGUGUGUUGUUGUGGUUUAUAAGAGACAACAGUCAGACUGUAGGUGUGUUGUGGUUUAUAAGAGACAACAGUCAGACUGUAGGUGUGUUGUUGUGGUUUAUAAGAGACAACAGUCAGACUGUAGGUGUGUUGUUGUGGUUUAUAAGAGACAACAGUCAGACUGUAGGUGUGUUGUUAAACAGGAUCAUUUAUAAGAGACAACAGUCAGAACUGACUCACUAUGAUGGUGCAGUCAGCUGAGCCACUAUACAGUCUGUUCCUACAGGGAGGGAGA